CCUUAUUAAGAGAGGCAGAGGGAAUAGGCCCUGUGAAGCCCGGCAACCUAGGUGUUUAUCAGAACAUAAAAGGUGCUAAAUCCUACAGAUUUUUUCUGAAAGAUGAGG
rnacentral:ncRNA from 1 species